AUUGAACGCUGGCGGCAGGCCUAACACAUGCAAGUCGAGCGGAUGAAGGGAGCUUGCUCCUGGAUUCAGCGGCGGACGGGUGAGUAAUGCCUAGGAAUCUGCCUGGUAGUGGGGGAUAACGUCCGGAAACGGGCGCUAAUACCGCAUACGUCCUGAGGGAGGAAGUGGGGGAUCUUCGGACCUCACGCUAUCAGAUGAGCCUAGGUCGGAUUAGCUAGUUGGUGGGGUAAAGGCCUACCAAGGCGACGAUCCGUAACUGGUCUGAGAAGAUGAUCAGUCACACUGGAACUGAGACACGGUCCAGACUCCUACGGGAGGCAGCAGUGGGGAAUAUUGGACAAUGGGCGAAAGCCUGAUCCAGCCAUGCCGCGUGUGUGAAGAAGGUCUUCGGAUUGUAAAGCACUUUAAGUUGGGAGGAAGGGCAGUAAGUUAAUACCUUGCUGUUUUGACGUUACCAACAGAAUAAGCACCGGCUAACUUCGUG
rnacentral:rRNA from 1 species